AUACGGAGGGUGCAAGCGUUACUCGGAAUCACUGGGCGUAAAGCGCGCGCAGGCGGCUAUUUAAGUUGGAUGUGAAAGCCUACGGCUCAACCGUAGAACUGCAUCCAAAACUAUUUAGCUAGAGUGUGAGAGAGGAAGAUGGAAUUAGUUGUGUAGGGGUAAAAUCCGUAGAGAUAACUAGGAAUACCAAAAGCGAAGGCAAUCUUCUGGAACACUACUGACGCUGAGGCGCGAAAGCGUGGGGAGCAAACGGAAUUAGAUACCCCAGUAGUCC
rnacentral:rRNA from 1 species